rnacentral:rRNA from 1 species
UACGUAGGGGGCAAGCGUUGUCCGGAAUUAUUGGGCGUAAAGAGCUCGUAGGCGGUUUGUCGCGUCUGCCGUGAAAGUCCGGGGCUCAACUCCGGAUCUGCGGUGGGUACGGGCAGACUAGAGUGAUGUAGGGGAGACUGGAAUUCCUGGUGUAGCGGUGAAAUGCGCAGAUAUCAGGAGGAACACCGAUGGCGAAGGCAGGUCUCUGGGCAUUACCUGACGCUGAGGAGCGAAAGCGUGGGUAGCGAACAGG